rnacentral:rRNA from 1 species
GGGGGGGGGGGGGGGGGGGGGGGGGGGGGGCGGGGCGGGGGGGCGGGCGGGGGGCGGGCGGGUCGGGUGGGGGCGGCGGACGGGGGGGGGACACGGGGAUGACCUAGCUAGGAGGCGGGGGUCACUUCGGGACACCGGAGCUAAUACCGGAGAAUAGUGUGAACCGCAUGGUGCAAAAGUGAGAGACGGUCUUGGUGUCCCUGAUAUAUGGAUCCGCGCUGCAUUAGCUAGUUGGUAAGGUAACGGCUUACCAAGGCCACGAUGCAUAGCCGACCUGUGAGGGUGAUCGGCCACACUGGAACUGAGACACGGUCCAGACUCCUACGGGAGGCAGCAGUAGGGAAUCUUCCGCAAUGGGCGAAAGCCUGACGGAGCAACGCCGCGUGAGUGAUGAAGGUCUUCGGAUCGUAAAACUCUGUUAUUAGGGAAGAACAUAUGUGUAAGUAACUGUGCACAUCUUGACGGUACCUAAUCAGAAAGCCACGGCUAACUACGUG